ACCAUAUUAGCAAAAAUAAAUGCAAAUAAUUUAGAAUUAUUAAAAGAAGGCUAAUUUCCUUCAUUUGGUG
rnacentral:tRNA from 1 species